AGUGAACGCUGGCGGUAGGCCUAACACAUGCAAGUCGAACGGCAGCACAGUAAGAGCUUGCUCUUACGGGUGGCGAGUGGCGGACGGGUGAGGAAUACAUCGGAAUCUACUUUUUCGUGGGGGAUAACGUAGGGAAACUUACGCUAAUACCGCAUACGACCUACGGGUGAAAGCAGGGGAUCUUCGGACCUUGCGCGAUUGAAUGAGCCUAUGUCGGAUUAGCUAGUUGGCGGGGUAAAGGCCCACCGAGGCGACGAUCCGUAGCUGGUCUGAGAGGAUGAUCAGCCACACUGGAACUGAGACACGGUCCAGACUCCUACGGGAGGCAGCAGUGGGGAAUAUUGGACAAUGGGCGCAAGCCUGAUCCAGCCAUACCGCGUGGGUGAAGAAGGCCUUCGGGUUGUAAAGCCCUUUUGUUGGGAAAGAAAAGCAGCAGGUUAAUACCCCGCUGUUCUGACGGUACCCAAAGAAUAAGCACCGGCUAACUUCGUG
rnacentral:rRNA from 1 species